rnacentral:rRNA from 1 species
AUUGAACGCUGGCGGCAGGCUUAACACAUGCAAGUCGAGCGAGCGGCGGACGGGUGAGUAAUGUCUGGGAAACUGCCUGAUGGAGGGGGAUAACUACUGGAAACGGUAGCUAAUACCGCAUACCAUCAGAUGUGCCCAGAUGGGAUUAGCUAGUAGGUGGGGUAAAGGCUCAACAAGGCGACGAUCCCUAGCUGGUCUGAGAGGAUGACCAGCCACACUGGAACUGAGACACGGUCCAGACUCCUACGGGAGGCAGCAGUGGGGAAUAUUGCACAAUGGGCGAAAGUCUGAUGCAGCAACGCCGCGUGUGUGAAGAAGGCUUUCGGGUUGUAAAGCACUUUCAGUGAGGAGGCGUUAUUCGCAGAAGAAGCACCGGCUAACUCCGUGCCAGCAGCCGCGGUAAUAC